rnacentral:rRNA from 1 species
UGGGGAAUAUUGCACAAUGGGCGAAAGCCUGAUGCAGCAACGCCGCGUGAGUGAUGAAGGCCUUCGGGUUGUAAAGCUCUGUCUUUUGGGACGAUAAUGACGGUACCAAAGGAGGAAGCCACGGCUAACUACGUGCCAGCAGCCGCGGUAAUACGUAGGUGGCAAGCGUUGUCCGGAUUUACUGGGCGUAAAGGAUGCGUAGGCGGAUUUUUAAGUGAGAUGUGAAAACCCUAAGCUUAACUUGGGGACUGCAUUUCAUACUGGAAAUCUAGAGUGCGGGAGAGGAGAAUGGAAUUCCUAGUGUAGCGGUGAAAUGCGUAGAGAUUAGGAAGAACACCAAGUGGCGAAGGCGAUUCUCUGGACCGUAACUGACGCUGAGGCAUGAAAGCGUGGGUAGCAAACAGGAUUAGAUACCCUGGUAGUCCACGCCGUAAACGAUGAGUACUAGGUGUAGGAGGUAUCGACCCCUUCUGUGCCGCAGUUAACACAAUAAGUACUCCGCCUGGGAAGUACGAUCGCAAGAUUAAAAACUUAAAGGAAUUGGCGGGGGUCAUAGCU